rnacentral:rRNA from 1 species
UGCAUCGAUGAAGAACGUAGCAAACUGCGAAACUUGGUGUGAAUUGCAGAAUCCCGUGAACCAUCGAGUCUUUGAACGCAAGUUGCGCCCGAAGCCGUUAGGCCGAGGGCACGUCUGCCUGGGCGUCACGC